GGAGUAUAAAUGGUGUAAAUCUUAAAGAAGUUUAAGUUGAAAAAACGUUCCCCUUAUCAGUGGUUGGUUUCACUCUCUGCUGAUGGUUUCCAGCUCAGUUCACAUGUGAAGGAUCAGGCAGCAGCGACAUCAAACAUCUGGCUCAUCCCAAUAAUCCUGCAGCCAUGAGUUCAGUAGACGGCAAACAGAAACCGUCGGUGAAGCUUGGAUUCUGAAACGGUUAACAGGUCGAUUACCCCUGCAGCCAUCGCCUCUGCACGCCACAGCCUCACUGUCUUCUGGUCUGAUAGGAAGUGGUUUCUCAUCUUCAAGCCGAAGCUCUACCAAAGAAAGAAGAAGGGAAGGUCCAAGGGCAGCUGAACCACACUGACUCCAGCCAGUACAUCAGAGACCUCAAAGACCAGAUAGCAGAGCUGAAACAGGAGAUUUGCUGCUUGAAAGGACAGAAGGGCUUGGUCAGUAAGUCCACCUUCGAUGGGAUCCACAUCGUUAAUCACUAUAUGGGUGUCAGUGAGUCUUACCAGUCCUCUGAUGACGACGGAGCAAAGAACACCAACCUGCAGAACCAGAACCUCCUGCAGAGGAGCGGAGGUCGUAUUAAGCUGCACCCCAAGCUGGAGGACACGGACAGUGAGGAAGAGGAGGAUGGGGAAUCGCUGCGGCUCUCUGUGCCUCAGAGCAAGUCCACCACGGUGUGAGGGGGGGGGGGGCAGAGCGUGCUUCUCACAGCCAUUUCAGACAUUUGGUUUUCCAAAAAAAGCAAACCCAUCAUUUCAUAUCUUUUGAAUCAAACUUGGAGCUUUAUUUGGCAGGAGUUUUGUUUUGUUUCGUUGGCCCCACUGACACAGCCGAGGUCAAACCAGGACCUCCGCAGAGAAUCGAACGGCGCAGAUCGUACCAAACUCUACAAGGACACGGGGGGGCCGGGGGCUCAUCUGGGUACAACACAGAAAGAGAGACUGUGCAAUAAACAUUUUAUCCUGUAUUCCACACUUCAUCCAACAUUGUUUUAUAUUUUUUAAAGGAUUUUAUAAACUACUAACAAGACUACAUCGAUGCUGUCGCUACCGUUACUUCCAUCAUGCAGGGGCAGAACCGUACGAAUGCGUGUGUGUGUGUGAGCGUGUGUGUGAGAGCGUAAAUGUAUCAGACGAUGUUUGUCGGAGCCUGGUAUCAAAGCUGCUUCUGUCCGACCGAUUAACGUCUCUGCGUCGCACCCUGCACGGAUUGGUCAGUGUGACAUCCGCAAACAUGUAGAUAUGUAAAUGUGUUUAUUUUUUCCUUAUUUUUUUUACUUGAAAACAUGUUUAAUAUUGCAUAUCGGAUGUUUAGAUAUGUUGUACAAAUAAAGAAGGGACAUAAGUUAUAUAUGAUAAAGGAGAUGGAUUAUUGUGUGUGUGGGGGGGUGCAUCAUAAAAACCUUUCAGCUUGUUACGUUCUGAGAAGGAAACAUGGAAAUAAAAGCUAAACAAGUGCAGGCAGGGUCAUCAGCAUGGUUGGCUGCAUUUGGUGCAUCUGCAGAUGAGUCAAACAUGAGUCAAAUCUGUUGUUUGAUUUAUUUGGUUUGCAUGAUAGAGGAGAUGGAGUCAAAUCUGCAGGAGAUGAGCACCAAGGGAACAGCUGGAUGUGUGCAAUGAACACUAACUUUCUGCAGAAACAGGCAACACUAUGAAGCACUCGCUCACUCUGGACGGACUACAUGAGAUUGUUGCACUUGUAAGAGAAGUGAUGAGGUUCAUAAUAAAAUGUUUGAUAACUUCUU